rnacentral:rRNA from 1 species
GAUCAUGGCUCAGAUUGAACGCUGGCGGCAUGCCUUACACAUGCAAGUCGAACGGCAGCACGGGAGCAAUCCUGGUGGCGAGUGGCGAACGGGUGAGUAAUAUAUCGGAACGUGCCCGGUCGUGGGGGAUAACGUAGCGAAAAGCUACGCUAAUACCGCAUACGAUCUACGGAUGAAAGCGGGGGGAUCGCAAGACCUCGCGCGAUUGGAGCGGCCGAUAUCAGAUUAGGUAGUUGGUGAGGUAAAGGCUCACCAAGCCGACGAUCUGUAGCUGGUCUGAGAGGACGACCAGCCACACUGGGACUGAGACACGGCCCAGACUCCUACGGGAGGCAGCAGUGGGGGAAUUUUGGACAAUGGGCGCAAGCCUGAUCCAGCAAUGCCGCGUGAGUGAUGAAGGCCUUCGGGUUGUAAAGCUCUUUUACUCGGGACGAUAAUGACGGUACCGAGAGAAUAAGCCCCGGCUAACUCCGUG